GGCCAUUAGCUCAGCGGUUAGAGCAGAGGACUCAUAAUCCUUUGGUCCUUGGUUCAAAUCCAAGACGGCCCA
rnacentral:tRNA from 1 species